ACUGACUAUUAGACUACCCGGUAGUCCCAGCCGUAAACUAUGCGCGUUAGGUGUAUCGGUGACCACGAGUUACCGAGGUGCCGAAGGGAACCGUGAAACGUGCCGCCUGGGAAGUACGGUCGCAAGGCUGAAACUUAAAGGAAUUGGCGGGGAGCACCACAACAGGUGGAGCCUGCGGUUUAAUUGGAUUCAACGCCGGACAGGCUCACCGGGAACGACAGCAAUAUGUAGGCCAGGCUGAAGACCUUGCCUGAAUCGCUG
rnacentral:rRNA from 1 species